rnacentral:lncRNA from 1 species
AAAUUUUAUACACUUACUUUAAAUGGAAUGUUUUUAGAAACUCAGAUUAUUUUAAAGAAAAAUUAUUUCAAAUUUGAUUUUUCUCAUUUAGCAUGAAAAUUUGCACCUAUUCUUUUAGAAAUAGAUUAGAUUGAAUGAUGAAAGAAAAUCCAAUAAUCAUGAAAUUAGCAUAUUAUCAAAUUUAUCCUUUACUAACUUUGUUAUUUUGUAUUUUGGAUCACAUUAUUUAGUUAAAUCAAUGUUUUUAUCACUAUUAAACCUCAUUGGCCAAUGGAUAAGUGGCCUGUACCUUAUAAGCCUUCUGAAUUUAUA